rnacentral:rRNA from 1 species
AACCGAAGGGCUUGCUCUUCGGGGUUGUGGAUCAGCAAAAAGGACGGGAGACCUUAGCAGAAGAGGAUUGGAAAGUCCCGCCAGAGAGGGUAAAAGCCCCUUACGCGAAAAGGUCAAACGACGAGCUGACACCAGAGUACCGCAGGACACGAGAAAUCCGGUGGGAAGCCGGGAGGACCACCUCCCAAGCCUAAAUACGAAUUGGUGACCGAUAGCGCAUAGUACCGUGAGGGAAAGGUGAAAAGAACCCCGGGAGGGGAGUGAAAAAGAACCUGAAACCCUGUGUUUACAAGCAGUGAAAGUGCGAGCAAGGCACGAUCACGUACUUUUUGUAGAACGGACCGGCGAGUUACGUUAUGCAGCAAGGUUAAGAACUGAAGGUUCGGAGCCGAAGCGAAAGCGAGUCUGAAUAGGGCGAAAGUUGCAUGACGUAGACCCGAAACCGGGUGACCUAUCCAUGAGCAGGUUGAAGUGGAGGUAAAGCUCCAUGGAGGACCGAACCAGACGUCUGUUGAAAAAGGCGGGGAUGACUUGUGGAUAGGGGAGAAAUUCCAAUCGAACCCGGAGAUAGCUGGUUCUCCUCGAAAUAGCUUUAGGGCUAGCCUCAUGGAUCAUUGAUGGGGGUAGAGCACUGAAUGUGCGCGGGGGCCACAAAGCCUACCAAACGCUAUCAAACUUCGAAUACCAUACAAUGCAGACCAUGGGAGUCAGUCCGCGAGAGAUAAGUUCCGCGGGCAAAAGGGGAACACCCCAGAUCAACCGCUAAGGUCCCCAAGUUCACGUUAAGUGGAGAAGGAUGUGGAAUUGCACAGACAACCAGGAUGUUGGCUCAGAAGCAGCCACACAUUUAAAGAGUGCGUAAUAGCUCACUGGUCGAGUGAUUGUGCGCCGAAGAUGUCCGGGGCUAAACGUGACACCGAAGCGAUGGGUGCAUCUGAAAGGAUGCGCGGUAGAGGAGCAAUGUGCAGAGGCAGAAGCCGUAUCGAGAGGCACGGUGGACACUGCACAAGAGAGAAUGCCGGUAUGAGUAGCGAGAGGCAUGCGAGAAACAUGCCCGUCGAAAGCCCAAGGUUUCCUGGGGAAGGUUCAUCCGCCCAGGGUAAGUCGGGGCCUAAGCCGAGGACGGAAGUCGUAGGCGAUGGACAGCAGGUGUAGAUUCCUGCACUACCGAUGGAAUGAAGCAGUGACACAGAAGGAUAACUCGAGCAGGGUGAUGGUCAACCCUGUGCAAGCAUCAAGGUUGGGUUGUAGUGAAGUACGCAAUCCUAUAAGCUGAGAUGUGAUGCGGACCGAAAUUUCAGUAGGGAAGCGAGUGAGUUCACGCUGGCGAGAAAAGCUGCUAGUACAUCCAAAGGUACCCGUACCGGAAACCGACGCAGGUGGGCGAGGAGAGAAUCCUGAGACGAACGGGAGAACCCUUGUUAAGGAACUCGGCAAAAUGACCCCGUAACUUCGGGAUAAGGGGUGCCUGCGAGAGCAGGCCGCAGAGAAUAGUCACAAGCGACUGUUUAGCAAAAACACAGGUAUCUGCGAAAGCGAGAGCUGACGUAUAGGUGCUGACACCUGCCCGGUGCUGGAAGGUUAAGGGAACAUGUUAGAGCAAUCGAAGCAUCGAACCGAAGCCCCAGUAAACGGCGGCCGUAACUAUAACGGUCCUAAGGUAGCGAAAUUCCUUGUCGGGUAAGUUCCGACCCGCACGAAUGGUGUAACGACUUGUGAGCUGUCUCAACAGGGGGCCCGGUGAAAUUGAAGUAUGGGUGAAGAUGCCCAUUACCCGCGACUGGACGGAAAGACCCCGUAGAGCUUUACUGCAGCCUGAUAUUGAGUUUCGGUAACUGAUGCACAGGAUAGGUGGGAGUCUGAGAGACAUGGGUUUCGGCUCGUGUGGAGACGAUGUUGGGAUACCACUCUUCGGUUACUGAAAUUCUAACAUAGCUCUGUGAAACCAGAGGAUGGACAGUGUCAGGUGGACAGUUUGACUGGGGCGGUCGCCUCCGAAAGAGUAACGGAGGCGCCCAAAGGUACCCUCAGAAUGGAUGGAAACCAUUCGAAGAGCGCAAAGGCAGAAGGGUGCCUGACUGCGAGAGUGACAACUCGAGCAGAGACGAAAGUCGGGCUUAGUGAUCCGGCGGUAUUGAGUGGAAAAGCCGUCGCUUAACGGAUAAAAGCUACCUCGGGGAUAACAGGCUGAUCUCCCCCAAGAGUCCACAUCGACG